UACGUAGGGUGCAAGCGUUGUCCGGAAUUUAUUGGGCGUAAAGAGCUCGUAGGCGGUUUGUUGCGUCGGCUGUGAAAUCCCGAGGCUCAACCUCGGGUCUGCAGUCGAUACGAGCAAACUAGAGUGUUGCAGGGGAGACUGGAAUUCCUGGUGUAGCGGUGAAAUGCGCAGAUAUCAGGAGGAACACCGGUGGCGAAGGCGGGUCUCUGGGCAACAACUGACGCUGGAGGAGCGAAAGCGUGGGGAGCAACAGG
rnacentral:rRNA from 1 species